AGAUGGCACAGCGGGUCAGUGCAUCUAGCUGUUAAGCAGAAGGUUGGUGGUUUGAGCCCACCCAGAAAUG
rnacentral:tRNA from 1 species